rnacentral:rRNA from 1 species
GAUGAACGCUGGCGGCGUGCCUAAUACAUGCAAGUCGAGCGAACAGACGAGGAGCUUGCUCCUCUGACGUUAGCGGCGGACGGGUGAGUAACACGUGGAUAACCUACCUAUAAGACUGGGAUAACUUCGGGAAACCGGAGCUAAUACCGGAUAAUAUAUUGAACCGCAUGGUUCAAUAGUGAAAGACGGUUUUGCUGUCACUUAUAGAUGGAUCCGCGCCGCAUUAGCUAGUUGGUAAGGUAACGGCUUACCAAGGCAACGAUGCGUAGCCGACCUGAGAGGGUGAUCGGCCACACUUGAACUGAGACACGGUCCAGACUCCUACGGGAGGCAGCAGUAGGGAAUCUUCCGCAAUUGGCGAAAGCCUGACGGAGCAACGCCGCGUGAGUGAUGAAGGUCUUCGGAUCGUAAAACUCUGUUAUUAGGGAAGAACAAAUGUGUAAGUAACUAUGCUCGUCUUGACGGUACCUAAUCAGAAAGCCACGGCUAACUACGUG